rnacentral:rRNA from 1 species
AACGAACGCUGGCGGCAUGCCUAACACAUGCAAGUCGAACGAGACCUUCGGGUCUAGUGGCGCACGGGUGCGUAACGCGUGGGAACCUGCCCUUAGGUUCGGAAUAACUCCCCGAAAGGGGUGCUAAUACCGGAUAAUGUCUUCGGACCAAAGAUUUAUCGCCUUUGGAUGGGCCCGCGUUGGAUUAGCUAGUUGGUAGGGUAAAAGCCUACCAAGGCGACGAUCCAUAGCUGGUCUGAGAGGAUGAUCAGCCACACUGGGACUGAGACACGGCCCAGACUCCUACGGGGGGCAGCAGUGGGAAAUAUUGGAAAAGGGGCGAAAGCCUGACCCAGCAAUGCCGGGGGGGGGAUGAGGGCCUUGGGUUUGAAAAGCUUUUUUCCCCGGGAUGAAAAUGACGGACCCGGGAGAAUAAGCCCCGGCAAACCCCG